AUGCCUUAAACUGAUGAGUAAGGAAAAUAACGAUGCGGGGUGACGCCCGUAUCCUCGAUAACACUUCGAGAUGAAUUUUUGAAAGGGCACAGGUCUGUCUGCUGAGGUGACUCGCCUACUUUGCGAGAUGCCUCGUGGAUCUAGGACCUUCCCC